AUCUAUAUACCUGGACAUUAUCUAUGUGCUUAUUUUUUUGUGUCAUAAGAUGUUUGGUGCAGUCGAUUGAGUGUCUGUCAUCGUCAUCUAGAAUAAAAAAUGAGUUUACUUGGAACUAUUCAACAAGUGAGGUUGAAAUCUGUCCAGUAGAAGCUCACUGGUAUCUUCAUUUUUAAGUCUCUGAACACAGUUAACCGUAAUACUAUUUCAAAUUGAAUGCCAUGCUUUCCAUUUUUACCAGGCCAAACUAAUGUCUAUCUUUCCUAAAGCAUAAUACUCUUCCACUUAGGAUAUACAGUUAAAAGCUGUGAAUCCCACUGUAAUACUUCCAAACAUCUAAAUAAACCGAAAAGUAAUUUAUGAUCUCACUUGUCAUUGAGCAGUCUGUGCUCCCCAUGCAUGCUAAAUCAUUGGUUUUCUCUUAAAACUGUAAACUUGAACAACGAUAUUUGAAAUGAAGUAUUCUUUCAGAUGGUGGUCAGACGAGAACAUUAAAAAGGUGUUACUCUACUUGUUAGUCUAUCACUAUUUACAUCAUCGAGUUGUUUUAUUCUUAAGAAGGCAGCGAUUUGAAGUUAUUUGAGAGCAAAGACGAAGAGAAGAGGACAACAUGGAGUGGUACAAGACGGUUAAGAGGGAAACGAAGUUAGCGGUCACGUCGGUGAAGAUAACAGCGUUUGGACGCUUGUAUGAAGAACUUGAGGGCAAAGGCGAGGACAAGAAGCUGUUUAAGCUAGCCAAGAUGAGAGAGGAAGGUCCACGACCUAGACCAAGUGAAGUGCAUCAAAGACGAGGAAGGAAAAGUAUUGGUAGAAGAGGCACUUAUUAGACGAAGAUAGCAGAUGUACUUUCACACACUCUUGAACGAGGAUGGGGAUUGGAACAUUAUGCCGGGUGAUCUGGAGCACUCCAAGAGUCGCCUAGAUUUUGGGUAUUAUAGGCGGAUAAAGGCCGAGGAGGCGGAGUGGGCUAUGCGUAGGAUGAACAGGGGAAGAGCGACUGAGUCUGACAAGAUUCCGGUAGAGUUUUGGAAGAACGCGGUUGGGCAGGUUCGGAGUGGCUCAAAGGCCUAUUUUAUGUUAUUUUUAGGGCAUCCAAAAUGCCUUAGGAUGGAGUACGAUGAUCCUGCUGUAUACGAACAAGGGAGAUAUCCAAAAUUGGAACAAUUACAUGAGUAUCAAGCUGUUAAGUCACACUAUGAAAGUUUGGGAGAGGGUGAUAGAGAUGAGGGUAAGGAGGAGUGUCUAUAUCCGAGAACCAGUUCGGAUUAAUGCCAGGGCGAUCAACCACAAAAGCCAUUUGUCUUAUAAGGAGGUUGGUGGAAUAUUAUAGGGAGAGGAAGAGGGACUUCCAUAUGGUGUUCAUUGAAUUGGAGACAACAUUCGAUAACGUUUCAAGAGAAGUUUUAUGGAGGUGUUUGAAGACGAGUGGUGUUCCUGUAGCGUACAUUAGAGCGAUUAAGGAUAUCUAUAAUGGAGCUAAGACCCGGUUAGAGCAAUAGGAUGAGACUCGGGAUACUUCCCGGUCAUGAUGAGGUUACACCAGGGAUCAACACUUAGCCCGGUCCUAUUCAUCAUGGUGAUGGAUGUAUUUACGCGGCACAUUAAAGAGGUGCCAUGGUGGAUGUUAUUUGCAGAUGAUAUAGUGCUGAUUGGCGAGACGCAAGGUGGAGUUAACGUCAGGCUGGAAGUUUGGAGAUAACCCUGGAAUCUAAAAGGUUCAAGUUGAGCAGGACUAAGACAAAGUACAUGGAGUGUAAGUUCAAUAGCUUAACUCAUGAGGAUGUAGUGGAAGUGAGACUUGAUACUUAAGUCAUCCCCAAGCGGGGUAGUUUCAAAUAUUUUGGGUAAGUAAUCCAAGGUAAUGGGAGAUCGAUGAGGAUGUCACACACCGUAUUGGAGUAGGAUGGAUGAAAUGGAGGCUUGCCUCUGGUGUCUUGUAUGAUAAGAAGGUGUUACCAAAACUUAAAAGUAAGUUAUGCAGAGUGGUGGUUGGACCGAUUAUAUUAUAUUGAGUGUUGGUCAGUUAAGAACUUUCAUGUCCAAAAGUUGAAAGUAGCGGAACUGAGGAUAUUGAGGUAAGACAUGAUCAGGAAUGAAGACAUUCAGGACAAGGUGAGCCUUUGUGGAGGAUAAGUUGCGGGAAAUGAGGUUGAGAUGGUACGAGCAUGUGAUGAUGAGAUGCCUAGAUCAGUGUUAUUAAAAGCGCUCGCUUCUCGCUUUAAGCGAUGAAGCGACGCGAGGCGCAGUGGUAGCGCUUUUCUGUUAAAAAGGCGACUCACAUUCGAAAAGCGUGCUCUUUUCUCGCUUAUGCGAGAAGCGACGCGUUAGAAAAAGCGAGAAAAAGCUCGCUUAAGCGAGCAGAAGGCAUCAGCUAGGGCUUUUUUAAAAAUUUUUGGGCAAAUAAACCAUCUGUUACCAAAACAUACGCUCUUCAAGGUCUUCUUCUCCAGCGACGACCACUGCUGCUCCAACCACUUCUUCUCCCGAUCUCGUAAAUUUAAUUUGAUUAUUCAAUGGCAUCAAGCCAAAAAAGAGAUCCAGCUUGGGCAUUUGAAGUUGCAGUUGGCAAUAAUAACUCAAGAGUCAAUGUAUCUUUUGUUAAAAAAUUUAUAACGGUGGAAUACAUCGUCACAAGAGACAUCUAAUAGGUGGUUUUAGAGAUGUCAAAGAAUGUCCAAGUGUUCCGGAUACUAUUAAGAAAGAAAUGAGAGAUUAUGUUGAGAAAAAAAAUGAGUUAAAAAAUCCAAUGAGCCAUGAAACAUCUAUGAUUAAUCUUCUUGAUGAAGAUAGUCAAAUGGAUGAGGAUGACCUUGAAGUCAAUGAUAUAAUGAGGCCACCUCCCUCUAAAUCUCAAAGAAAGAAUUCAACAAGUGGUAGUGGAUCAUCCACCGCUGGUAGCAAUGUGAAAGGUCCUCUUAAUCUUUUUUUCUCACAAAAACCAAAUGAAAAGAGAAAGGGUGAAGCUGUUGGCUUAGAAUCUUGUAGGAAGAGUUUGAGGGAGUGUGCUGUAGAUGCUUUUGCAAGGUGGAUGUAUGAUGCGGGGCUUCCUUUUAAUUGUGUGAAUUACACCGAUAGUUUUGGUGAAUUCAUUGAGGCCGUUGGCCAAUAUGGCCCGGGAAUGAAGCCCCCUACCUAUCACGAAGUAAGAGUUCCUUGUCUAAAAAAGGAGGUGGAUAAGACAUACAAGAUUGUUGAGGAGCAUAAGGCGCAAUGGAAAAUUUAUGGUUGUUCCAUUAUGAUGGACAAAUGGACUGCAAAAAAUGAAAAAAUGGUCAUUAAUGUUUUGGUGAAUUCUCCGAGAGGUAGUGUGUUUCUUGAAUCUUAUGAUGCUAGUGACUCCUCAACCAAUUCCAAUAAAAUGUUCAACUUGCUUGAGAAGACAAUAUUGAAAGUUGGACCGGAGAAUGUGGUUCAAGUUGUCACUGAUAACACAAGUGAGAAUAAAAAAACGGGUGACAUGUUGAAAGGAGUUUUCCCGAAUAUUUAUUGGACUCCUUGUGCUGCACAUUGUAUCAACUUGAUGUUUGGUGACAUUUUCAAGUUAGCCCCAUAUUCUACAGUUUUUGCUAAGGCGAUCAAGAUACAUUCUUAUAUUAGUCAAAGGCCGUUGUUGUUGAACAUGAUGAGGAGAUACACAAAACAAAGAAAUUUGGUGAAACCGGCUAAGACAAGAUUCGCAACAGCUAUCUUGACCUUGCAUAGCUUUUACCUGCAAAAGCAAAAUUUGCGAACCUUGUUCUUGUCAACCAAAUGGAGUGAGAGUAUUUAUGCAAAGGAAGCUCUUGGGAAAGAAGUUGCGAGAUUUAUUAUGGGUCCAUAUUUUUAGAAUGACACUGUUCAAGCACUUAAAGUUGGUAAUCCUUUGGUUAUUGUACUUCGUUUGGUGGAUGGGGAGAAAAAACCACCAAUGGGACACAUUUAUGAAGCCAGGGAUAGGGCUAAAGAAGCUAUUGAGAAGGCAUUUGAUCAUGAUAGGAAGAAAUAUGAGAGUGUUUGAAAUCAUUGAUAAAAGGUGGGCUGAUCAGCUUCAUCAACCUUUACAUGCAGCAGGGCAUAUUUUGAACCCCGGAUUGUUUUACACAAACAAUGAAAACAAGACUUUAGAUUUAAACGUUUGGAAGGGGUAUCAUGCAUGUGUUGCGAAGUUGGUGCCAGAUGAAGCGAUGCAAGACAAAAUAGGGCAAGAGCUUGGUGUGUAUAUGCAAGCCGAUGGAAUUCUUGGAUUAGCUUCGGCCAUUAGAGGCAGAACCAAAUUGGCACCAGUUGAAUGGUGGAUGCAAUUUGGUUAUGAAGUUCCAAACUUGCAACAAUUUGCUAUUAGAGUUCAAAGCUUAACUUGUCGCUCAUCCGGAUGCGAGAGAAAUUGGAGUGUUUAUGAACAUAUUCAUACUAAGAAGAGGAACAGGCUUGAGCUAAAGAAACUCAAUGAUCUCGUGUUCGUAAAAUAUAAUAGAACAUUGGCUCGUCGUUACAAAGCUCGCAAUAUCAUUGAUCCAAUUUUAUUGGAUAACAUUGAUGAAGCAAAUGAAUGGUUAACCGGAGCUCCCGAAAAUCAUGAAGAAGAAGAAGUGUUUGAAGGAGAAGGUCUCACUUUUGGUCAUGUUGCUAUGGCAAGUGAAGUUGAAGAGAAUGUUUAUGGUUUUAGGGGAAGUACUUUAAGGAGCAAAGAAAGAGUAUCUACAAGUACAUGUACAAGUAGAACCCUAAUUAAUGAAGCCUCCGAUGAAGAAGAAGAUGAUGAUGACCAAUAUAAUAACUCGAACAUGAUGACACUUCAAGAGUUUGGAGAUCUUGUUGAAGAAUAGGAUGUUGCUCCUUUUGUGAUUUUGUUUUGCAUUUGCUUAAUAUUUUAUGACUUUUGAGGAUUAUUCACUAUCUAGUUUUAGUAUCUAUUAUUUGCUUCUUGAUUCAAGAAUUGAAACAUUUGCUUAAUAUGUUAUUUUUAAUGAGUUCUUAGCCAUUUAUCU